rnacentral:rRNA from 1 species
GACUAACGCUGGCGGCGUGCCUAAUACAUGCAAGUCGAACGGGAUUCUUUGAUCAGCUUGCUGAGAGAAGGAUCUAGUGGCGGACGGGUGAGUAACGCGUGGGAAUCUGCCUCUUACUGGGGGAUAACAGUGGGAAACUACUGCUAAUACCGCAUAAGAUCUUCGGAUGAAAGGUGCAACUGCACCGGUAAGAGAUGAGCCCGCGUCCCAUUAGCUAGUUGGUGAGGUAAAGGCUCACCAAGGCGACGAUGGGUAGCCGGCCUGAGAGGGUGAACGGCCACACUGGGACUGAGACACGGCCCAGACUCCUACGGGAGGCAGCAGUAGGGAAUCUUCCGCAAUGGGCGCAAGCCUGACGGAGCGACGCCGCGUGAGUGAUGAAGGCCUUCGGGUACGUAAGCUCUGUUCUUGAGGACGAAUAAGCCAGGGAGUGGAAACGCCCUGGUGAUGACUGUACUCAAGGAGAAAGCUCCGGCUAACUACGUCGCC